ACGAACGCUGGCGGCAUGCCUAACACAUGCAAGUCGAACGAAGCUCUUUCCUUCGGGGAGGAUGACUUAGUGGCGAACGGGUGAGUAACACACGAGCAACCUGCCCUACACAGGGGGAUAACACUUGGAAACGAGUGCUAAUACCGCAUAAGACCACGGUGUCGCAUGGCACGGGGGUAAAAACGAUUCAGUGGUGUAGGAUGGGCUCAUGACCCAUUAGCUAGUUGGUGAGAUAACAGCCCACCAAGGCGACGAUGGGUAGCCGACCUGAGAGGGUGAUCGGCCACAUUGGAACUGAGAUACGGUCCAAACUCCUACGGGAGGCAGCAGUGGGGAAUAUUGGGCAAUGGGCGAAAGCCUUACCCAGCAAUGCCGCGUGAGUGAUGAAGGUCUUCGGAUUGUAAAGCUCUUUGAUUAGGGACGAAGAAAGUGACGGUACCUAAAGAACAAGCCCCGGCUAACUACGUGCCAGCAGCCGCGGUAAUACGUAGGGGGCAAGCGUUGUCCGGAAUGACUGGGCGUAAAGGGUGUGUAGGCGGUUUUACAAGUUAGAUGUGAAAUACCCAGGGCUUAACUCGGGUGCUGCAUCUAAGACUGUAAGACUUGAGUGUCGGAGAGGUAAAUGGAAUUCCUAGUGUAGCGGUGGAAUGCGUAGAUAUUAGGAGGAACACCAGUGGCGAAGGCGAUUUACUGGACGAUAACUGACGCUGAGGCACGAAAGCGUGGGGAGCAAACAGGAUUAGAUACCCUGGUAGUCCACGCCGUAAACGAUGGAUACUAGAUGUAGGUGGUAUCAACUCCAUCUGCGUCGCAGCAAACGCAAUAAGUAUCCCGCCUGGGGAGUACGGCCGCAAGGUUGAAACUCAAAGGAAUUGACGGGGGCCCGCACAAGCAGCGGAGCAUGUGGUUUAAUUCGACGCAACGCGAAGAACCUUACCAAGACUUGACAUCGUAUGACCGCCAUAGAAAUAUGGAAUUCCUGCUUGCAGGACAUAUAGACAGGUGGUGCAUGGUUGUCGUCAGCUCGUGUCGUGAGAUGUUGGGUUAAGUCCCGCAACGAGCGCAACCCUCAUGUCCAGUUGCCAAUAUUAAGUUAGGAACUCUGGACAGACUGCCGUGGAUAACACGGAGGAAGGUGGGGAUGACGUCAAAUCAUCAUGCCCCUUACGUCUUGGGCUACACACGUGCUACAAUGGCUAUUACAAAGAGCAGCGAAACGGUAACGUUAAGCGAAUCUCAAAAAGAUAGUCUCAGUUCGGAUUGUGGGCUGCAACCCGCCCACAUGAAGUCGGAGUUGCUAGUAAUCCCGAAUCAGAAUGUCGGGGUGAAUGCGUUCCCGGGCCUUGUACACACCGCCCGUCACGCCAUGGGAGUUGGGAGUACCCAAAGUCGGUGAGCUAACCGCAAGGAGGCAGCCGCCUAAGGUAAGACCAGUAACUGGGGUG
rnacentral:rRNA from 1 species